rnacentral:rRNA from 1 species
AUUGAACGCUGGCGGCAGGCCUAAAACAUGCAAGUCGAACGAGUGGCGGACGGGUGAGUAAUGUCUGGGAAACUGCCCGAUGGAGGGGGAUAACUACUGGCAACGGUAGCUAAUACCGCAUACAAUCGGAUGUGCCCAGAUGGGAUUAGCUAGUAGUGGGGGUAACGGCUCACCUAGGCGACGCUCCCUAGCUGGUCUGAGAGGAUGACCAGCCACACUGGAACUGAGACACGGGCCAGACUCCUACGGGAGGCAGCAGUGGGGAAUAUUGCACGAUGGGCGCAAUCCUGAUGCAGCCAUUCCGCGUGUAUGAAGAAGUCCUUCGGGUUGUAAAGUACUUUCAGCGAGGAGGCGUUACUCGCAGAAGAAGCACCGGCUAACUACGCGCCAGCAGCCGCGGUAAUAC